rnacentral:rRNA from 1 species
CUCCCACCCUUGUGUAUUAUUACUUUGUUGCUUUGGCGAGCUGCCUUCGGGCCUUGUAUGCUCGCCAGANAAUACCAAAACUCUUUUUAUUAAUGUCGUCUGAGUACUAUAUAAUAGUUAAAACUUUCAACAACGGAUCUCUUGGUUCUGGCAUCGAUGAAGAACGCAGCGAAAUGCGAUAAGUAAUGUGAAUUGCAGAAUUCAGUGAAUCAUCGAAUCUUUGAACGCACAUUGCGCCCCUUGGUAUUCCGGGGGGCAUGCCUGUUCGAGCGUCAUUUCAACCCUCAAGCUUAGCUUGGUAUUGAGUCUAUGUCAGUAAUGGCAGGCUCUAAAAUCAGUGGCGGCGCCGCUGGGUCCUGAACGUAGUAAUAUCUCUCGUUACAGGUUCUCGGUGUGCUUCUGCCAAAACCCAAAUUUUUCUAUGGUUGACCUCGGAUCAGGUAGGGAUACCCGCUGAACUUAAGCAUAUCAAUAGGCGGAGGAAUUUCUAGUAAUUGGCUCGGCCUUAUAAUAACAAACUAA